ensembl:lncRNA
UCACAUCUCCUCAUUUAAUGGAGCUGCUUUGCACUUUUUACACUGUUUAUUCACCAACACUUUAUUUAAUAAAAGUCUCAUCUAGUUUUUAUGAGGAAUGUGAUGUUUUAAUUUCUCUGUGAAUAACUGCAGUCUAAUGCAACAGCUGGAGUUGUAACAUCUGUCCUGAUAUUGAUCAUGAAAUUUUUAUCAGAAUACUUAUGGUCAGCAGUCAUCCCUGAAGUUUUACAUUAAAAUCUUUACUUGUGUUGUGAACUUUGGUAAGAAGCAGAAACUUUUGCGUUGCCAUGGAUACAUGAGUGUUAAAUUCUGUCCAUGAUUCCAUUUUGGGAAAUGCAGUCCAGUUCCAGAAUGUGGAGGAAUUUAGUCUCACAAUCACAGACAACAAAUAUUAUCUGAAAGUCGGGUUAUUGUUGUUUACCAGCACAAUACAAAAAGAUUAAUGUUAGAAAUAUUCCAGUUAAGAAUAUCAUGAUUUAUGUAAAUUUACCUCAAUAAUAUGAAUGUUCAGGUUAAGAUUGUACAGUGAUAUUUAUUAUGCAAGUUUAGCUGAUUAAAGUUUAUGACUCUGCACUAAAAUAUUAUUUAAAUUGACAUCAUUAUUAUAAUAUUUAGGGUCAGACCCUACAGUAUUGAGAUUAAGAAAUCAAAUAUUCUGUAAAAUGUAAAUACACUGAACUCAUUUGGAUAUAUUUAAGUGAGACUCUACAAUAUUAUGUGACACAAAUCUAUCUAAAUCAAAAUUUUAAUAAUUUUCACACCAAACAUUUACUGGACUGAUUUAAACAUUAAAAUCACUCCUUUCUAAUCCUCUGCUGUACGUUCAAACCUGAGGCCUGAAAUAGAAACACACAAGUAUCUGAUUGAAGGAACUUCUGCAGAGUCCUGGUUCCAGAACAUGAUAGAAUUAUAGACAAACUUUAACAAAAGCUGCCUGAGAGUUUACAGGUUUUUAUGUUGGAUUUCUUCAGUAAUUUAAUGAGCGUUAUCAGCAAUAAUCAAGUGUUCAUUUGAAGAACUUAAUUUCCUAAAACAUACAGAAUUGAAGCUCAUAUCUUUGGCAGCUGUAAAGUUUCUGCUCCUUCAAAGAUCACAACACAAUGAAUGAAUUCCUAAAACACUCUCAAUGCUGGAGAGCGUUUGUGAUGCUGAAGCAGUGACCAGUUUUUCUGUUUCUUCUCUGGAGAUGCACAAUGAGGGACGUCUGCAGAGACUGAGAAAGAGUCUCACCACAUCCUGACAUGAGGAAAAAGACUUUAUUGAAGACUACAAUGAGAAAAACUAUCAGACAGCAGACGGCUGCAUUCAAGUCUGUAGCUGCUGAAUUCAUGAAUGAAUCAUCUGGCACUAGAGAAGAAGAUCAUCAAACAUCCAUGUCAGCUGAUGGACGUCCAAGAGUCUCACCCAACAAACAACCUACAGAGUGAAGACCUCAAAUCUGAUUGGACGGCCUCCUAUUCAGCCACAUUUUAGGCUGUUAGAUUGUUCCAGAUAAGACAAGUACAAGAUUCUUCAGAGCCGUUCUACCACGAGCCUGACAGGAAGAACUCCAACAGCUACUGAAUGUUCCUGUGGUCCCCUCAAGGCUACAGGAGGAGCCCUACGAGGACGAGCCGGUCCACCUGAUGGUGGCCAGUCACUGCGGUUCAAAGCCAACACCGACUACGUGGACUUCUACUGGACCACACGGA